rnacentral:lncRNA from 1 species
UCUACUCGAAAUCGAUCUUGUCCUGCCAUUUUCGAGCGUUUGUCCUGCGUUUAAUCGGCGUAUAGAAAAUUAGCAGGCGGUGAUAAAAUUUAUGACAGAUCAUUACUUUUCACAAAGCAAAGUCUUCAAAAUAAAUUCUUAAUUGCCAAAUCCUUAUAAUUUUGUUGUAAAAUGAUAUUAGUGCGAACAAACCAAAUAAAAAAAUUCCCUGGACGGAAUCCAGCAGCGGUGGAUAAAUUGCCCUCUCCGGAGAAACCAUCAUUUUGAUCGGUGAGGAUUCGGUCCUCCGAGCAACAUGACAAUGUUCCGGUGAAGACCAUCAGGGAUAAGCAGUUGUCGGUCCUUUGGGCGGUGCGGUGGAGGAAGAGACAAGGACACAAACAAAACAUGCAAGAGCUGCUUCUUUGGAUCAAAAUCGGCACACACUGAAGACAAAAAUACAUCAAUCAUCAA